rnacentral:lncRNA from 1 species
AACAUAUGCGCCACUAGAGGGAGGGUUUGGCAUGGAUGCCACCUCAGUUCUAAGUUUCUCAGGUUUGGUAGUGAGUUUCUGAAGAUAUGUGUAUAAAUCUCUUUUAGUCUUUGACCUUUGUGAGAUAGAAAGCCACCAAGGAAUAAAAGGCAGAUGUACAUUGGAAACUUGAACCAUCCAGGGCCUUCUUAAUGUUAGCCCAUCAGGACUCAGGUUUUAUAUGAUCUCAUGAGGUCCUUCUGGGCAGACCCAUCAUCCUCCCUUACAAGUCUCUACUACUCUUCCAUAUGAUGGCUCAAGGAAUCCUGCCAGACCCUGGGAGAGCUCUUGGAGAUCCAUGGUAGUAAACAUUGCUGCCAGGUUGGCACGAAAACUCCUUUAAGCUUGCUACUUCUCCCGGGCUUCUGAAGGCCAGGGAAGAAGGAGACCUGGAUUUCCCAGAGCAUCAGUACAAAAGAAGAGAAGCAAGGUGGCAGUGAUUAGCUAUACCAGAGAAGAAGUUACUUUCUCCUCUUAGAGUUGUCCGAACAUUCCAUUUUUGGCAGUGAAAGAAAGGCAUCGAUUUCGCAGUGCCCUGGAGAGGUGUUGGUACUUCUUGAAGAGCAAAAUCAAAGAAAAAUAAAUAAAUAAAUAAAAAAAGGCUGUACCUCCAGAUCAUCUUCUGAUGGAGGGAGGAGAAGGCACCUGUGGUUAGUUAGCGUUGCUAGCAUUCUGAGAAAGCAGGGGUGAGGAAUGGAUUCGUUUGUUCCUCUGGAGUGGACAAGACCCAAAAGACCACUUGGUCGUCACUUGGUUGCUUUGAGAGAUGCUGAUGACUGUCAAGACCCACGAGCCCCAAGUCAAAGAAGGGAGGAUGGUCCAGGGUGCUAGGCAGUUUCUUCUUGGAAUAGGCAGAAGCCAGAAGCAUUUCCAGAAAGUUUUUGAAAGCAAAAUUGGAAAUUCUCAGAUUUAUUGCACAUGUAGUUCUUUACUUAAGUUUAAUUGCUAAAGUAGCCAUGAGUCUUUUAAAACAAUUUCAAAGGUCUUCUUUGGGGGUGGGGUGGGGGUGGCGAGGGGGACAAAGUAAAGUAACAGAAGUGGCCCUAACCACUGAGAACUACCGUUCUUUGGCCUGCAGUAUCACUUAGGGGAGGAGAGCACCUAAUUUGUCAGGGAAAACCUCCUGUUUUCUGGUGAACCCAGAUGAUAUGUGUUCAUAAAGAAUAGCCCCCAAGAAUGACGACGGCUUUCUCCUGAGUUCCUUCUGUCUUAGCAUUAGCUUGGGUUUUUAAACCUGGAAGAAACCAACGUAUCAGUUUAUUCUCAAACAAAAUCUUUCCUCCCCUUCGUUCAUACUUUGUGAAGGAAGUGGGAAUUCACCCCUGCAGCCAAAGUAAGUGGCCUAGAGAAUGGCCUGGCACAAAGCUAGCUGUCUGCAGGAGGGCAUGGAAGCUACCUGGCCUUUGAUUACUUCUCCCAGCUGGCAGGUUUUUGUUCAUUUAUUGUAGAUGUACUUAUAGUUUGACCUUUCUGUAAGGAUUUGUGUGGCAAGAUAUUUGAGUGCUUUUUACUGGACUGGUGAGAGGUUUGGGUUUGAGUCUCUGGCCAUAUUAUUGAAAAGUUGUGUGGCUUUGGAUAAGUUCCCGACAUUGAGUUUCAGGAUCCCAAGUGUAACAGGAGAGGGCUGAAAUAAAAGACCUUUAAUGUGGGAUCCAGGCUUGACCUUGAUUUGGAGGUUAGGCCAGGAUUAGCAAGAUGGGGAAUUUCCAGUCCUGGAAGAUGUCCUGCCCAGGCGGAUGAACUUUGUUCUUGGUAGGAGGUCUAGGGACCCCAGUGGCAGGGCUAAUCUUGCUCAGCAUUAGCACGAGAAGCACCUUCCUUCCUUCUUUCUUUGGCCUAGUUUUAUGGAACUGGUUUACGCUUAGAAGAUAACAGUAAGAAGAGUAUCCUUUUGGACGGAGUCCAUCUUCCAUCUCCAGGCACUGUGAAUCCUUUCUACUAUUCAUACUCCUCACUGAUGGAAGAAGCCAUUCCCGGUUCUAGAACUUCUGUUUUCCUCAGCCAAACCCCUGUCACAGUUUGAAUAAAUUAUGAAACCAUUGCUAAAAUCCUUGGCUUGAGUUAGGGCACUGGCAUCAAAGGAGUGAGGAGUGCCAGGGAACCUCAAGAGGAAUUUGCCACAAGUGGAUUUUCCACUUGUCCAUAGCCCCUCACCUAUGCUGGCACUGGCCUAUUAUUUUCAUAGACAGCAUCUGUAGGAUAUGAGGUGUUGGGGAAAUGACUGGCAAGGGGCAGAUUCUUUCUGGACUACUUGUGCUCCCAGAAGGGUCCUUUCUGUGGCAUAUCAUCCCACUUCCUCAGCUCUGCAGGGCAGCCAAAGCCAGCCCUGGUCAUUAGGACCAAGGAGAAAUAGCAAUCUUCUCUCUUCCCCCAGGUGGCAGGGCUGUGAUGGCCCUUCCUACACACCUGGACUCUGCCUACCCACUUCAAGACUCUCCCUCCCCCCAACCCCAUCCCCAUCUCUAAGCUAUGGGGCAAUCAUUCCCCAUUUUUCCUUUGCCAUCCUUGACCCUCAUCCACACACCCCGCCCCCCCAUCCUCCAGCAGGCUGGCCCCUCUCCCUUCCAUGUCCAAGUCUUCUUCCAGAAGAUGCAUUUGGAUCCCAGAGGAGUGUUUUCUGGAAGACAAUCUUUCAACAUCCCUACAUUCCUGACAUAAAGCAGGAAUUUGCACAUGGCGUAGAGAGCUCCCUCUCCCACCUCUCUGCCCAGUCUUGUUACCUCACUCCUGCUCCAGCCAUUGUGAUGGGCUCAGCCAGCUCCCUGUUCUGAUGUGCCCUGCAACAGCUCAGGGGUCUUGUGACUUGGAGAGGUCCUCAGCAGGCCUGGGAGCCCGGAUUGGAGCCUUGGCUGCCGAUGAGAAGCACUUACCUGCCAAGAUUUGCUGAUGCCAGACGAUCUCCCCAGCAUGUGAAUGCUUAACGGACAUUGCCAUCUCUACCCCCUUGGUCCUCCUUGCUUCUUUCCAUACAAUAAGACACCUCAGAAGCAAAAUGGCGGCCCUUGCUCCAGGCAGGACAUCAGGCUGUCUGGGGAGUUGGCCCUGGGCUUCUGUGUUGUGUGCAGAGACUGCACAGUAAAACAGUCACUUUUGCCAACAAGAAUGUGUGGCACCCCACAUCUCCCUACCUUGCACUCUAGGGCCAGACCACUCUCUGCAUGGACCAGACCAUUUUCCCAAACCCAUGGUGCUUCCCCCGACCCCACUCAACCUACAUUCUGAGGUGGGGAGGGAUGGAUCAGAGGCCAUAGUGGCCCCCUGGAUAAUCCUGACAUGGGGUGGAGUCGGGUGAGGCAGAGGGAGCAGCACCCAACACCUGCACUGGGCCACAGUGGGAAAGAACACAGUUUGGUUGCAGUUGGGUUGUCUGACCGUCUAUAUUUGGAUCUAUAACUGUACUUUGCCUGGCGCUGUGCGCAAGGUCCAAAAACUUAUUGCUAGUACCUAGACACAUACAAGGCUGUCCAGCCAAAUCUUAAUGUAAAGUAGCUAGAGCCAUGGAAGUUCAGUAUGAAUUAAAGGAAAAAAAAGUAUUGAAUUACAAAUAAUAA